UUUCCGUAGGUGAACCUGCGGAAGGAUCAUUACCGAGUGAAGCAGGGGGGGCCGCCCUCUCGGGGGCGCGUCCUCCCGGAAAGCUCCCAACCCAAACCCCAACACUCGUGAAGAAAACGUGAGAGGCGUCUGACGCGGUUGACGAAAGGAAACCGAAUCAAAACUUUCAACAACGGAUCUCUUGGUUCUG
rnacentral:misc_RNA from 1 species